GACGGAACUAGCUGGGAAAUGGCAAGAAGUUGUAAAAAUUGACCAUCAACAGAAUACUACAAAGAAAGAAACCCUAACUCUCUCACUGUCCACAGUGCUGGAAAACUAAAGAAUCAUUUAGGUCUGUUACUUCAUAGAGACCCACAAGCAACACAACAAUCCGCUUCAAAGCUCCUCUUCUGAAGCUACCCACCACAGAAUUUACAUGUGAUGCAAACCCUGAACCAAGCAGCCCUUUGCUCUUGCUGGGGAUGAGGUGUGAAAAGAGACAACACAAACAAGGGCAGGAAACAAGGCAGAGGUGAAGCAGCUUGCCUGAGGCCACGCAGAGAGUCAGCCUCAUCUCCUGGCUCUAGUUCUGCAUCUGGGCCCCUCCUGAAUACAGCUGCCCCAGGAAAGCGCCCAUCUCAGCAGGUCAACUCUCUGAAGGAGAGGCUGCCUGGAAGUCAGCAGGGCAGGGGCCAGCCGGGCAGAGCAGUGUCUAAAGAGAAGAAAAGCAGAGCGGUUCCUGCAGGAACCUUUCAGAAUGAGCCAGGCAACCAACUACCGCACCCAGAGGAGGAAGGGGCUGAUGCUGACACGAACUGAAAACACCACCAGUUACAGGUUUCUCUAGGACAGAGAACUAACAGUCCCGUCCCCCCCCCAAGCCCUUCAGCUUCUUUCUGUGCAGCUCCACAUCAACAGCUCCUCCAUGAUGAAUGGGGACAAGUUUUCUGAAGCAGGUAAAAUCCUUCAAAGCAGCAGACUAUACGAUAUGUGUUACAACUGCCCUAAUUUGUGCAUAGUUCAGCAACUGCUGCGGAGAUUGCUGGCACUGGACAGCUCUUCUUUGCACAGCUAACAACUGUGUGAUGCACCCAGAGCACAAAGCAAACUUUUAGGCCCUACGCAGUGAAAUGCAGCUUAGCAGAGGCAAAACAGUGGUCAGUGCUCUAUUCCUAGCUCUGUUCAGAGCGGCCCAGGAAAAACAGUUCUGCACUUUUAAUCUCCUAAGAGAUGAAUGACACCAGCACACACACUGAGGAGGGCUCUUCUCAGGACAGCUGAGAAGCGGGGCCUGCCCAGGUAAGUGUGAAAGGCCAAGGGAAAAGCAAAAAUCACUCAAACCACCACUCAUCCUACGCAGCAAAGAGGAACACGGUGCCUCCCAGAACCUAGAAGCUGGUCAAAUCGAACCGACUUGCGCACUAGGGUUUACCUGACAAAUUUAAUCCCAAAGUCAGCGUGAAAGUUAACUCUUCUCUUGCCUAAAGCGCUGUUAAAAAUUGCUGCUUCCUUCCACCCUAAACACACCCCAUCCAGUACCGAGACAGGACAGCUGAGCAGUGAGAAAGCACAGACCCUGAACCACAGUCUCAGACCUCUGUGCCUUGCACCUAAGCGGCAGGGGCAAGGCCAGCAAGCAGCUCUCCACCUUUAAUCCCUUUGUAGUUAGCAGACAAGCUCCGGUGAAUACCGAGACCGCCACUCCAAACUAAGUGACUGAAUCAAAAGCAUCUUAGUGUGCCAGCCCGCAGAGAAUCCCUGCAGGGGAGAUUAGCUGGAUUAAAAUGUCUCUGGCAGCUUCUGCUACUGGCUACCUAUGCAUACCACCAAUAUACAGGUAGGACUCAUCUUGGGUCCUCCUAAACUCAGUCUAGUGUUACAUAAACAACCUCAUCCUAAGCACAAAACAGAUAAGCCAGAAAACCUUUAAGAGGCAGAGGUGACUCCUCAGGUCACCGGACUUUAGUGGGAAGGACAAAUAGCGCCACAUUGAAAAAUAAGCACAGACUGCCUCCUGCAGACAUCCAUGCCUAGGAAUUGUUCCCAACAUCCCCAACCUGUUCUAGAUGCCAAGCAGAGCAGCUAAUGCCAUUCAGCUCCAACCCCUCCAGAAUCAGGUAUCAGCAUUUUUGGACAGUCUCCUGGACAGUCUCCUUGAAAACAGCAGUGCACACAGCACUUGUCAACUUUAACCUAAUCACAGAGCAGUAAUUCUGUAGAUAGUGACUGCUCACUAGCUUGGGGAAAUCAUAUAUUCUGUGUUUGACAGACACACUGGCAUCACAAUACUUCCUUCACCAGUAACAGCCUUCUGUCAUGGCAGACUGAACAGAGAUGGAGACCGGCCGAGAGCAGCCCCAGGGGAGAAACUUUUAGGCAAUUUGAAGCACAUCAGUCAACUCGGCUAGCGUAGGACGUGCACUAUUUGACUGGUAAGACAAGGAAGCCAAGUUAAGUCUAAUUUGUGUGAGCUGGAAACAAAAUUCUCCUCCUCCCUCUCCAAAAAUGAACAAACUAGAAGCACUAAGCAGGCAGAGAACGUCACUCUAGAUUUGGCUGCUUCUCCCUCUGCCCAAGCUUGCAAAACUGUGCUCCCCCCUCAAGGUUUACAAUCCCUAAAAGUGGAUCCUGGAAACCAGAGAAAAACACUUUUAAAAGAGUUUCCAUGUGGCUUGCAGAACUCCCCCCUUAACCACAAGCCAAAAAUUCCUAAUCAUUUGAAAGAAUGCAAGUGAAAUCAUAAAAGAGCCUGAAACUGAUUCUGAAAGCAAGGAAAGACAGUAAAGCCCAACAGGAGUAAGAAAGGUCUUAAUAGAUUAAAAAAACUGACUGCUGAGCAGCUGAAAUCACAACUGGAAGUUUGGAGGGAUGACUACCAAGUCAAAACAUCAUAAAGAGAGGGGAUAUCAAAGCCCCUUAGAAGAACAAGGUCUAACGGACGCUAAGAGACAAUGUAGUGCUUUAUAAACUAGCCCGAAGCACCCAUAGGGUGGGGCACGUUUCUUGGGUCUUUUACUGAACAGCAACAUUGAUUUCGGCAGGAUGAUCGGACCUCUUCCAACAGAAAUCCCAGCGGUCAGCUCUGUAUCCACACAGCUCUGUAUCCCACACACAAAGGCUGGAAGGGUUUGUUUCUGAUCGUUUCAUACCUCACUGCUGUCAACAGAGCUAGCUAUGCAACGCAAAGCCUGAGCAGCGCUUGGAAGAUGAUGAGAAGUGGCAGCCUGUACCACUUUGGCAGCUGCAAGUUCUAGGGAAGCUCAGGAAAAAGCACCAACAGCUCAUUUUCAUUUGUUAAGGUAGGAAAACCUGGCUUGACCUCAACACAGUAUGAAUCACUGCACCCCUUACGCAGAGCCCAGAACUGCAUUUUCUAAGUACGACAAAGCUUAAAAGAAUAAGGAAAUAAAAUACGGCUCUGAUGUGUGACUGUUCUAGCA
rnacentral:lncRNA from 1 species